GACGAACGCUGGCGGCGUGCUUAACACAUGCAAGUCGAACGGAAAGGCCCUGCUUUUGUGGGGUGCUCGAGUGGCGAACGGGUGAGUAACCCGUGAGUAACCUGCCCUUGACUUUGGGAUAACUUCAGGAAACUGGGGCUAAUACCGGAUAGGCGCUCCUGCUGCAUGGUGGUGGUUGGAAAGUUUCGGCGGUUGGGGAUGGACUCGCGGCUUAUCAGCUUGUUGGUGGGGUAGUGGCUUACCAAGGCUUUGACGGGUAGCCGGCCUGAGAGGGUGACCGGCCACAUUGGGACUGAGAUACGGCCCAGACUCCUACGGGAGGCAGCAGUGGGGAAUAUUGCACAAUGGGCGGAAGCCUGAUGCAGCAACGCCGCGUGCGGGAUGACGGCCUUCGGGUUGUAAACCGCUUUCGCCUGUGACGAAGCGUGAGUGACGGUAAUGGGUAAAGAAGCACCGGCUAACUACGUG
rnacentral:rRNA from 1 species